rnacentral:rRNA from 1 species
AGCAGCCGCGGUAAUUCCAGCUCCAAUAGCGUAUAUUAAAGUUGUUGCAGUUAAAAAGCUCGUAGUUGAAUUUCGGGGUCUGUCCAUUGGUCGGGCUUCACAGUCCGUACUGGUGUGAUGGGUUCCUACCUUCUGAAUAACCAGCAUGCCAUUCAGUUGGUGCGCCGGGGAAGCAGAGCUAUUACCUUGAAAAAAUUAGAGUGCUUAAAGCAGGCUAGUGCUUGAAUGGAUUAGCAUGGAAUAAUAAAAUAGGACGGCAUGGUUCUAUUUUGUUGGUUUCUAGGAUCACCGUAAUGAUUAAUAGGGAUAGUUGGGGGCAUUAGUAUUCAAUUGUCAGAGGUGAAAUUCUUGGAUUUAUUGAAGACUAACUUCUGCGAAAGCAUUUGCCAAGGAUGUUUUCAUUAAUCAAGAACGAAAGUUAGGGGAUCGAAGACGAUCAGAUACCGUCGUAGUCUUAACCAUAAACUAUGCCGACUAGGGAUCGGACGAUGUUAAUUUUUUAAUGACUCGUUC